UCUCCGCUGGUGAACCGGCGGAGGGAUCAUUACAGGACUCGCAAGACUCCUACAACCCUGUGAACUUAACUAUAAGCACGUUGCUUCGGCGGGUGUCUCGGAGGGGGUUCUCCCUCCCCGAGACGCUAAACCCGCCGGCAGCCUACUAUACUCUGUCUCUUUGCGUUGGCAUCUCGAGUACAAUCAAACAAGUUAAAACUUUCAACAACGGAUCUCUUGGUUCUG
rnacentral:misc_RNA from 1 species